GAUCAUGGCUCAGGAUGAACGCUAGCGACAGGCUAACACAUGCAAGUCGAGGGGCAUCACGGGAGUAGCAAUACAACUGGUGGCGACCGGCGCACGGGUGAGUAACGCGUAUGCAACCUACCUAUCAGGAGGGGAAUAACCCGGCGAAAGUCGGACUAAUACCGCAUAAAACAGGGGCACCGCAUGGUGAUAUUUGUUAAAGAAAUUCGCUGAUAGAUGGGCAUGCGUUCCAUUAGGUAGUUGGUGAGGUAACGGCUCACCAAGCCGACGAUGGAUAGGGGAACUGAGAGGUUGGUCCCCCACACUGGUACUGAGACACGGACCAGACUCCUACGGGAGGCAGCAGUGAGGAAUAUUGGUCAAUGGGCGGGAGCCUGAACCAGCCAAGUCGCGUGAAGGAAAGAAGGAUCUAUGGUUCGUAAACUUCUUUUGCAGGGGAAUAAAGUGCAGGACGUGUCCUGUUUUGUAUGUACCCUGAGAAUAAGGAUCGGCUAACUCCGUGCCAGCAGCUGC
rnacentral:rRNA from 1 species